rnacentral:lncRNA from 1 species
AAUCUUUUGACAAAACAAUUCUGAAGUGGGAAACAACCAUCUUAAAGACUACUGUGAUAUGUUCUGGAUUCAGAAUCUUUAACAUGUUCAACCUCUGUGCCUCAGGUAAGCAAGACAACCUGCUGACCACAGAUUUUCCAGAUUUAUCCCUGCAGCCUCAUUUGAGACACAGAGGGCAUCGUAUUGCUGAAAAACACAGGUGCAAGAGUCAGCUUAUCACUUACAGAUCUUACCCGCAAUGUACGGUUAAAGCAAUUAAAAUGUGUACUCUGUGUCUCACACAGCAACGAAGCUGAUCGUUGCACAACCAGCUUUGAUGCAGUGGCCAGAAUAAGGGGGGACAUGUUUUUCUUUAAAGAUCUUAAUAUGUGGAGGGUGAGUAGUGGAGGGCUGGUAUCAGAGAAGGCAGCCUCUAUUCGGCGCAUGUGGGGAGGCCUUCCCCCUAACCUGUCUCCUCUUCAGGCGGUGUUUGAGAGACGCUCAGAUCACACAAUAGUCUUCAUCACCGGGUCCCAGUUCUGGUUUUUUAAUGACCUUGCUCUCCAAGAAGGGUAUCCACAACCACUUCAUGUCCUAGGGGUUAGAGGAGGAGAGCAAGGGCUGGUGUGGG